GCGACCCCAGUCAGGCGGGGACUACSAGCUGAGUUUAAGCAUA
rnacentral:rRNA from 1 species